GGGUGUGAACAAACCAGCGUUAAUGCACCAGAUCCCAUCAGAACUCCAUAGUUAAGCGCGCUUGGGCUAGAGUAGUAUUGGGAUGGGUGACCUCCCGGAAAGUCCUAGUGUUGCACCCU
rnacentral:rRNA from 1 species